rnacentral:rRNA from 1 species
CAGUAGCCGCGGUAAAACGAAGGGUGCAAGCGUUACUCGGAAUUACUGGGCGUAAAGCGUGCGCAGGCGGUUAUAUAAGACAGAUGUGAAAUCCCCGGGCUCAACCUGGGAACUGCAUUUGUGACUGUAUAGCUAGAGUACGGCAGAGGGGGAUGGAAUUCCGCGUGUAGCAGUGAAAUGCGUAGAUAUGCGGAGGAACACCGAUGGCGAAGGCAAUCCCCUGGGCCUGUACUGACGCUCAUGCACGAAAGCGUGGGGAGCAAACAGGAUUAGAUACCCCCGUAGUCCCUGUCUCUUAUAC